UACGUAGGUGGCAAGCGUUGUCCGGAUUUACUGGGCGUAAAGAGCGCGCAGGCGGUCGUUCAAGUCGCGUGUGAAAGCCCCCGGCUCAACUGGGGAGGGUCACGCGAUACUGAUCGACUCGAAGGCAGGAGAGGGAAGUGGAAUUCCCGGUGUAGUGGUGAAAUGCGUAGAUAUCGGGAGGAACACCAGUGGCGAAGGCGGCUCGCUGGGCCGGACCUGACGCUGAGACGCGAAGGCGUGGGGAGCGAACGGG
rnacentral:rRNA from 1 species